rnacentral:rRNA from 1 species
AACGAACGCUGGCGGCAGGCCUAACACAUGCAAGUCGAGCGCUGUAGCAAUACAGAGCGGCGCACGGGUGAGUAACACGUGGGAACGUGCCCUUUGGUUCGGAAUAACUCAGGGAAACUUGAGCUAAUACCGGAUGAGCCCUAACGGGGAAAGAUUUAUCGCCGACGGAGCGGCCCGCGUCGGAUUAGCUAGUUGGUGGGGUAAUAGCCUACCAAGGCAACGAUCCGUAGCUGGUUCGAGAGAACGACCAGCCACACUGGGACUGAGACACGGCCCAGACUCCUACGGGAGGCAGCAGUGGGGAAUCUUGGACAAUGGGGGAAACCCUGAUCCAGCCAUGCCGCGUGAGUGAUGAAGGCCCUAGGGUUGUAAAACUCUUUCGGCGGGGACGAUAAUGACGGUACCCGCAGAAGAAGCUCCGGCUAACUUCGUGCCAGCAGCCGCAGUAAGAC